AAGAGAUCUGGAGCGUCAUUGUGAGAUGAUGACCGCACAGCACCGUGAAUCAGCAAAGCACUGCGACAUCAGAAUGGGAUGUGACCAAGCAUUUCCCGAGAGAAGAGCAAACAGCCUUCCUCAGCUGACAAGUGGGCCCAUGGUGGGGCUGUGCCUGCAACCCCAGGCUCCUGAUUGGCAGCCCAGGGCUCUUUCUAGUAGUCCAUUCUGGCUCUUGUGGAGAACUGAGUGAGACCCUGUCCCCCUGAUGGCAAGAGCGAGGGGCAAGUAUGGUGGGAAGGGGAGCAUUCAGUGGAAGCUGGGAGUUGAAAGUAACCGUUUUCAGGUGGGCCAGAGUAAUAUUCAAAUACUUACCAUUUACCAGGUACAAGGAAGAAAGAAAACUGUGAUGGACACUGCUGUAUUAUUGGCCAACGAGAAUCCACUAACCUCUCCCAUCCGGGCCUUAAUGUCCUUUCAGAGGAUCAUCUCUCCCUCUCCCACAGGGAGCAGCAUGAGAAGAGACUGUUUAGACCAGGGGGAGUUUCUGCUGUUUCCCGCUGCUGUGACGGAUGCUUUAAGGUUAGUAAAUGGAUCUCCUUUACUUAUGGUCUGCUUUUUAAAAUGGUGUUUUUGCACUGGUCUCUGGGUACAGUGAGUCUGCAACUCAGCCCUUUAAGAGUGGGUUUUCCAUUCUCUACAGUUUUAUACUUUUCCUGAACAUAAUCCUCAUUGAGUUUUCAAAACCUGGUGUUUUGGGAGCUCAUCUCUCCUGUGGAGGAUCUAAGGUUUGGGGUGCCUGAUGUAGAGCUCAAAUCCAUCACUCCUCAGGGAAAAGUUCCAUACCUUUGAGAUCCCUCCUAGUUGUGCUUCCCCAUGGCUGAUGUGUUUUCCCCCCUGGCAAGUCCACAUCUCUGUGUCUCCUCCUUCCCAUCCUGAUGUUACCCUUUCAGCCUUUGUCGUGGAGGCUUUGGUCAUCCAAUUUUCAGGUUCCUUUCAGAGGGCAUUAUUCCAUAUGUAGUGGUAGAUUUGUUGGUCUGUGGAAGGAGGUGAAUUCAGGGUCUUGUUACACUGCCAUCUUGAGACCAACUCUGUUCUGCCAUUUCUUGAGUGUGUUGCCUUGGUUAAGAACAAUUAUUUAUCGUGUGGGUCUCAGCUUUUUUAUCUGUAAAAUAGGGUUGAGACUAUGUCCUGUAACUGUAACCAGCAUCCCAUUGGUGAUCACUUAAUGCUCAACCACCUCCCCCAAUUUGACCUCCUUUCACAUCCCCAUCACGAGGCAGCUAGCUGCCUGUGCAGCCAGGUCUUGGGAGGAGUUCCAUAAUGAAAGCUAAACUCACAUUUUGGGGGCAUCUGCCAUGUGCCCACACAGUGCUAAAUGUUAACAUGGAUUGUCUCAUUCAGUCUUCACAAUGGCUUUGUUAAAGUCGAAGCUUAGAGAAGUGAUCUGCUCAGGAUCACAGCACAUGGCAGGAUCGAUUUUCUAUUCCAAGUCAACAUAUUUGCUUCUAGUUUAUGUAUCUAUUUCCUGUGGGCUUGGUUAGUGUAAGCCAGUGUUGAUCCCUGAGUGAACAGAUGAAAGGAGCACCUCGACCUGUGAGGUGGAAACCUGGUCUCUGCAGCUGUGACCUCCUGUGGCUGUUGGUUCAAGGAUGUCCAGAGUCCCAGGGCCAAGGAAUGGAAAAAUACUGCUCUGGCUCACCUACUCGCUGCCAUAGGAGCACUUGGGUGGCUGGGCCACUCUGAAUGGAGCCUGUGAUGGAGCUGAUCAUGUGAAUAAAGGUAGGGUUGCCACAAUCAGGGUCCCUGACCUUGAAUUAAUAAAACCAAUUGUGGCAACAAGGGUUCUGAUGUCCUUUGUGACUUAGACUGAGAGCUAGACAGCCAGUCAGAAGGCCUGCAGAACUUAAACACAGAGGCAUUUAUUGUCAGAAAGGGCAAAUCUUACACUCAAAUGGGUUUUGCCAUAUAUGCAUCAAAAGGGAGAUGCCCCCACCUCCCCCCACAGUGCAGGUUCCAGUUAUCCUGUGGCCUGGCAACCACUGUUCUCUUUUUCCAACAGCAACAGAAGUUGAAGUCCCUCCAGGUUACCCAGCAGCUAGAGGGGAUGAGGCAGGACAGACUCCUGAAUGCCAUCUGCCUGAGUCCCACCUAUUCUCUAAGCUUCAGGGAAACUGGAAAACGUCCCAACUGGCAAAGCGUACUUUCUUAAAAAGCUGGACGAAAGUAUGGGACAUUCCUUUGCUUAACAAAACAAAAUCAACUGGUCUGGUGACCUGAUGCAUCUUGGAAGAGACAGGGAGUCUCCCUGGGGAAUGAGGGGCAGGAAGAAAGGCCCAGG